ACAGAACAAAAACUCAAUGACUCAGCACUGGCUAAUACUUGUGUACUUACACAAUGUACUUCAUGUCAUUUGUUAGGAAGCUUUUCAUGUGCACAAAGUUCUUUUUGGUGGGAAAUACGUAAAACUGCUUGAUUGCUACUAAUUUCUGCUGCAACUCACAAGGAAUACAUAAUACCUUUUAUAGUGAUACGAAACAUUUAAUAUCUUUCCAAACAUGGCUGAGUAUAAAAAAGUACACUGAACUGAAUUAUUAAGCCUCAUUGAUUAAACACCAAUAUAAACGAUUAGCAGUACACCGAACUUAGCUCCAGCAGUACACCAAUUAGCCUGGUACCCUACAACACAUAUAACCAUGAAUAAGCGAUGAGACAAUAUCAUGCAUAGUUUAUAAUGACAAUCCCUCCGAAAAUCACACAGGCAUGGUUGGCCAGACGAACUUUUUAGUGACAGCAGUCCACAAACCUAAUGUAGAUUUCAGAAUAAAAAAGCUAUGUUCUAUGGCCGUUUUUAUUUUGCAGAGCACCUAAUGAGAAACCGAUGUUUUAUGCAAGAAAAAAACGACCAAUUAACAUGAUGUUUGUACACCUUACCCUUAAUUUAUCUUCUUGAUCUCUCCUUUACGCUUCACUACUCCAGGCCGGUGUCUUCUCCGUCCACGUCUAGGAACUUGAAUGAUUUCUUCCUCGUCGUCGGUGACCUCGGCUUGCGCAUCAGCCUUCGCCAUGGUGGCCCGCACUCCCCGAACGGUGUCGGGCAGCUUCUCCUCUAGCACCGGGGAGAAGAUGGGAUCAGGGUAAUGUACGGAUGGCUUGAAAGCCAAGAUUAGCUCCAACUCGUCGUCUGGCAGCCGAAAAGUCUUCUUCUUCGUCUUUUUCUUUAUCACCUCCUUCUGCUGCACCGCGCUGGCUGCAUCAUCGUCAAUUACGGCCGUAUCAGCUAUCAUCGCCUUCCGCUGCUCCUCGGAUGAAAUUGAGCUCGACAUCGAUCAAAACGUUGUAAUAGCCUGCGAUUUGUUGCAAGACAAAACCAAAAAGCCUCUGAGAGCAAUUUAUAUGAGUCUCGCCGGACGGAGAUCUUGUCGGACUCCGCUCCCGGCCCGAAUCAUGGUCGACCAGUAUUACAGAUCUAAACGAAAUUGGAUCGAAUCGAACUGAAA